rnacentral:lncRNA from 1 species
UUCUGCAAAAACAAGCUUGAGAUUUUAACAUCUUCUGUGGCCCAUUUCUUGGAUUAAAUAUAUGACUUUAAAUGGAGUCAAUGAAGUUGGUUUGGUUAAGUGACAGAAGCCAGCUGUUUAUGACACAGUGUGGGUAUCUGUAUUUGCUCUGUGAACUGCAAAGUAUCCUAUUGGGACUAAUAUAAAAUACAACAGAUAUAACUUGGAGCAAUGUAUUCCUUGGUGCAAUCAAAUGAUUAAAAUAGCCAAAAUCAGAUUAUUAAAUUAGCCAGAAUAAAACUCAUUGCAC